rnacentral:rRNA from 1 species
UACGUAGGGUGCGAGCGUUGUCCGGAAUUACUGGGCGUAAAGAGCUCGUAGGUGGUUUGUCGCGUUGUCCGUGAAAACUCACAACUCAAUUGUGGGCGUGCGGGCGAUACGGGCAGACUGGAGUACUGCAGGGGAGACUGGAAUUCCUGGUGUAGCGGUGGAAUGCGCAGAUAUCAGGAGGAACACCGGUGGCGAAGGCGGGUCUCUGGGCAGUGACUGACGCUGAGGAGCGAAAGCGUGGGGAGCGAACAGG